rnacentral:rRNA from 1 species
UACACACCGCCCGUCACGCCAUGGAAGCUGCGAGUGCCCGAAGUCGGUGUCGGAACCGAAAGGACCAAGCCGCCUAAGGCAAGCGUAGUGACUGGGGCGAAGUCGUAACAAGGUACCC